UCGCUAUGGCCUUGCUAGGAGAGUUAGGUGACUGUACUUCGGGGGCAGCCCUCACCUAGACGUCCACUGCUGGAGUCUGGGAAGCCAGGUGCAACUGCACAGUACCUAUAAGAACAUCACGGGAAUACUUCCUGAUGAAAAAGACACC